rnacentral:rRNA from 1 species
GACGAACGCUGGCGGCGUGCUUAACACAUGCAAGUCGAACGGAAAGGCCCUGCUUUUGUGGGGUGCUCGAGUGGCGAACGGGUGAGUAACACGUGAGUAACCUGCCCUUGACUUUGGGAUAACUUCAGGAAACUGGGGCUAAUACCGGAUAGGAGCUCCUGCUGCAUGGUGGGGGUUGGAAAGUUUCGGCGGUUGGGGAUGGACUCGCGGCUUAUCAGCUUGUUGGUGGGGUAGUGGCUUACCAAGGCUUUGACGGGUAGCCGGCCUGAGAGGGUGACCGGCCACAUUGGGACUGAGAUACGGCCCAGACGCCUACGGGCGGCAGCAGUGGGGAAUAUUGCACAAUGGGCGGAAGCCUGAUGCAGCAACGCCGCGUGCGGGAUGACGGCCUUCGGGUUGUAAACCGCUUUCGCCUGUGACGAAGCGUGAGUGACGGUAAUGGGUAAAGAAGCACCGGCUAACUACGUG